AUUUUAGAAAAAUAUACACUUUAUUGUCAAUUUAAUGCAUUAAACAUCAAAUAUGGAAAUAACAUAAACAAAUCUGCCGUAAGAAAACCCUAGGCGUUACGAGAAUAUUCCUUGACUCAAAUAUGGUAAUAUUUCGGAAAAAUCUGUCAGCUAAUAAAAGUCUGUCGUAACGUUUUCAAAAAAAAAA
rnacentral:sRNA from 1 species